rnacentral:rRNA from 1 species
CCUACGGGAGGCAGCAGUGAGGAAUAUUGGUCAAUGGACGGAAGCCUGAACCAGCCAUGCCGCGUGCAGGAAGACGGCUCUAUGAGUUGUAAACUGCUUUUGUACAAGGGUAAACCUGAAUACGUGUAUUCAGCUGAAAGUACUGUACGAAUAAGGAUCGGCUAACUCCGUGCCAGCAGCCGCGGUAAUACGGAGGAUCCAAGCGUUAUCCGGAUUUAUUGGGUUUAAAGGGUGCGUAGGCGGAUUGAUAAGUUAGAGGUGAAAUGUCCGAGCUUAACUCGGGAACUGCCUCUAAUACUGUUGAUCUAGAGAGUAGAUGCGGUAGGCGGAAUGUAUGGUGUAGCGGUGAAAUGCUUAGAGAUCAUACAGAACACCGAUUGCGAAGGCAGCUUACCAAUCUAUAUCUGACGUUGAGGCACGAAAGCGUGGGGAGCAAACAGGAUUAGAUACCCGGGUAGUC